ensembl:miRNA MIR211 microRNA 211
UCCCCUGGCUGUGUGACCUGUGGGCUUCCCUUUGUCAUCCUUUGCCCAGGGUUCUGAGUGGGGCAGGGACAGCAAAGGGGUGCUCAGUCGUCACCUCCCACAGCAUGGAG